AUGAGUCUUCGCUUAAAAGAGGCUGGGGUUAUGCUCUCCAGUUUCGCCCAAGGAUGGGGCCGCGACCGAUCAGGUUGUUGGUGAGGUAAUGGCUCACCAAGCCUUUUACCGGUGCGGGCCGUGGGAGCGGGAGCCCGGAGAUGGGCACUGAGACAAGGGCCCAGGCCCUACGGGGCGCAGCAGUCGCGAAAACUUUGCAAUAAGCGAAAGCUUGACAGGGCUAUCCCGAGUGCCAUCCGCUGAGGAAGGCUUUUACCCAGUCUAGAACGCUGGGGGAAUAAGGAGAGGGCAAGUCUGGUGUCAGCCGCCGCGGUAAUACCAGCUCUCCGAGUGGUGUGGAUGUUUAUUGGGCCUAAAGCAUCCGUAGCUGGCUAGGUUAGUCCCCUGUUAAAUCCACCGAAUUAAUCGUUGGAUUGCGGGGGAUACUACUUGGCUAGGGGACGAGAGAGGCAGACGGUAUUUCCGGGGUAGGGGUGAAAUCCUAUAAUCCCGGGAAGACCACCAGUGGCGAAGGCUGUCUGCUAGAACGCGCCCGACGGUGAGGGAUGAAAGCUGGGGGAGCGAACCGGAUUAGAUACCCGGGUAGUCCCAGCUGUAAACGAUGCAGACUAGGUGUUUGGACGGCCACGUGCCGUUCUAGUGCCGCAGGGAAGCUGUUA
rnacentral:rRNA from 1 species